rnacentral:rRNA from 14 species
CCCCGAUUAGGGGAGUGAAACAGUACCUGAAACCGAAUGCUUACAAGCAGUUGGAGCCCCAUAGGGGGUGACAGCGUACCUCUUGCAUAAUGGGUCAGUGACUUAAUCUAGCAUGCGAGCUUAAGCCGUUAGGUGUAGGCGAAGCGAAAGCGAGUCUGAAUAGGGCGACUGAGUAUGUUGGAUUAGACCCGAAACCCGGCGAUCUAGGCAUGAGCAGGUUGAAGGUGCGGUAACACGCACUGGAGGACCGAACCGUUUAAUGUUGAAAAAUUAUCGGAUGACUUGUGUUUAGGGGUGAAAGGCCAAUCAAGCCGGGAAAUAGCUGGUUCUCCGCGAAAUCUAUUGAGGUAGAGCGUCAGAUGUAUGCCGAUGGGGGUAGAGCACUGGAUGGGCUAGGGCUGCGCGAGCGGUACCAAACCUAACCAAACUCCGAAUACCAUCGAGUCUUGUCUGGCAGACAGACGGCGGGUGCUAAGGUCCGUCGUCAAAAGGGAAACAGCCCUAACCUACAGCUAAGGUCCCCAAGUCAUAUCUAAGUGGGAAAGCAUGUGGGAAUCCCAAAACAACCAGGAGGUUGGCUU